AGAGGGAAAUUAUGAGGGGUCAGUGAUUUGAUGUGUUGGGUUUAUAAAGUAAUCAUGACUCCGUGUGAAAAAUAAAUGGAGAGUUAGGUUUAAUGAAACGGUUUAUGGGUUUUUUGGAAGGCAAUUAAUGAAGUUUCUUCAUUUAACAAUAGAUUAAUUGAACGUGUAAUUUUGGCCAUAAUUCAGAUUAAUGUUUUUAAUUUUUGGAUGGAAAGGUGUGAAAAGAAAAAGAAACAAGGAAAUUUGGAGGUAAAUUAGAAAAAUGGAAAGAACAAAAAUUUACUCUUGCAUAUGAUAAAAAUGUGUCCAUAAUAUACAAACUACGUACAUACCAAAUAUGUGCAAGCACUACUAGAAUCCGGCCUUUUACCGACCACUUCUACCGACCGUCCAAAAAUACGGUUGGUGAUUAUUUAAAAACCGACCGUUAUCAAAGUGGACAUUAAAUACCGACCGUUAUUAUAAAUCACCGACCGCUACAGUAAUCUGUAGGUGAUUACCGACCGUUUUAAUUAAACACCGACUGCAUAACUUAACCGUAGGUAAUUACCGACCGACUUUCAAAUAUCACCGACCACUUUGCCGUCGGUGAAUUACUACUGGUAGUUUCGGAAUUUUUAACUCCCACGUUUCCCCUUUUCACUCUAUCAUAGUAAUCAGUAACUAAAAAUAACCCUAACAUUGCCUUGGAGAAACUGACGCCUCCCUCUCCCUUCAGCAUCAUCGUCGCCGGUAUUCCUUAAUCUCCACAGUGUUCUCGUCGCCAGUUUCAGUUCUCUUGUGCACCUGCCGCAUCACCAUCGCUACGGGUCAACUGCACGUCUGCACAACCACUCACCAUCGCUUCUUGGUUUGUUUCGCCAACCUACAACAGUUUGACAAUAACAAAGUCACUCGAUCUAUUACGGAUUGAUUCAUGGCUUAGUUACAAGUGGUGAUCUUCUUUACAAAAAAUCAUCAACCCGCACUAGUAGCUCUUCUAGUGUCUACACGCCUUCUAUGCUUUCUCAGCUUUCAACUACCGUGGAGCAAUAUCAGCAACAAUUAGCAGAUCAAAUAGCUGAAUUUCAGAGGCAAAAAAAUGAGUGGGAGAUACAUCGUCUCCAAACGGAAAAAGAAAGGAAAGAAGCAAAAAAAAUACAUGGAGGAGAUGAAGACUACAAUGGAAGAGUAUUCUCAAAUGAUGACUCAGUGUGGAGGCACUUUCCCUUUCACCCAACCACGUGACCCACGUGAUCCUUCUGGUGGUGGAUCGGGAUUUCCUUGUAGUACUUAGACUUAUAGUCUUUUAUAUCAGCAUAUUAUAUAUUUUUAGAAAAAUGAUGUUUAAUUUUGGUUGUUGGAAUUACUAUUAGAUCUAUAUUGUGGAGAGUAUGAUGUUUAAUAUAUGUUGUAACAAACCUAUUAUUUUGAUAUG